CGGAAGUUAUCAGAAAACUCCAAUCAGUUUGCGACACAUUUGCCGGUAAAUUAAUGUUCGAUAAUAACGUAUUUAUUGUGUAAUUACAUCAUAUAAACAUCUGAUAAUUGCAUCAAGCGAAGACUGAUCAAUGAUGUGGCGAGACAGUUUGGUUGUCAUAGCAACCAUUUUGUUAAUUGGUUUGAAAUUCUCAGAUGCCCAUUUGGCUGUGAUGUCUGUGGAUUUAGGUAGUGAAUACAUAAAGAUUGCUCUUGUGAAGGUG